rnacentral:rRNA from 1 species
UGAACGCUGGCGGCAUGCCUUACACAUGCAAGUCGAACGGUAACGCGGGGCAACCUGGCGACGAGUGGCGAACGGGUGAGUAAUAUAUCGGAACGUGCCCAGUCGUGGGGGAUAACGUAGCGAAAGUUACGCUAAUACCGCAUACGAUCUAAGGAUGAAAGCGGGGGAUCGCAAGACCUUGCGCGAUUGGAGCGGCCGAUAUCAGAUUAGGUAGUUGGUGGGGUAAAGGCUCACCAAGCCAACGAUCUGUAGCUGGUCUGAGAGGACGACCAGCCACACUGGAACUGAGACACGGUCCAGACUCCUACGGGAGGCAGCAGUGGGGAAUUUUGGACAAUGGACGCAAGUCUGAUCCAGCCAUUCCGCGUGCGGGAUGAAGGCCCUCGGGUUGUAAACUGCUUUUGUACGGACGAAAAGGUCUCUCUUAAUACGAGGGGCUCAUGACGGUACCGUAAGAAUAAGCACCGGCUAACUACGUGCCAGCAGCCGCGGUA